CCAAUGUGGAUCAUUCUGGGAGGCCAUUCUCCUCUGUCCAGGUGGCAUGGGGAGCUCAGGGCUCUGCCCCAUGAUGUGCAGGCCUUUUCCACAGGGUCGGAGAUAAAGCCGGGCAUAUUCCUGCAGUGCCCCAGAGUCCUGUGGACAGUGUCUGAAGAGACACACCAUGCAGGAAAUAACC
rnacentral:snoRNA from 1 species